GGAAGGAUCAUUAUCGAAAUAUGACAAUGGCAAGCUGUUGCUGGCGCUUUGCGAUCGUGCACGCUUGUCGUUUCUCAUUUCAUCCACCUCUUGUGCAUCAUUUGUAGAUCUUGUGAAUGUAUCUGAAGCUGCUUCAGGUGAUUAGGACUGCUUUGCAUCUGUUCGAUGGCGGGCUUUCCUUGUUUAUUACAUAGAUCUAUGUCUUUUUUCAUAUACUCCAAUGAAUGAUAUAAAGAAGGGUUUAUUAUUUGAUAUAAUACAACUUUCAGCAACGGAUCUCUUGGCUCUCGCAUCGAUGAAGAACGCAGCGAAAUGCGAUAAGUAAUGUGAAUUGCAGAAUUCAGUGAAUCAUCGAAUCUUUGAACGCAACUUGCGCUCCUUGGUAUUCCGAGGAGCAUGCCUGUUUGAGUGUCAUUAAUAUCUCAAAAAAUCUAUGCUUAGCAAAUAGAUCUUUUGGACUUGGGGGUUUGCAGGCUUUUGCCAGCUCCUCUGAAAUGUAUGAGCAGGAAAUAAAAACUUCAGAUGUGAUAACUAUCUUGCAUCUGGGGGGUGUCUCUGCUGAAACAAAGCUUGUUUGAUCUAUGUGACCUCAGAUCAGGUAGGACUACCCGCUGAACUUAAGCAUAUCAAUAAGCGGAGGAAAAGAAACUAACAAGGAUUCCCCUAGUAACUGCGAGUGAAGAGGGAAGAGCUCAAAUUUGUAAUCUGGCAGUCCUUGGCUGUCCGAGUUGUAAUCUAGAGAAGUGCUACCCGUGCUGGACCGUGUACAAGUCUCCUGGAAUGGAGCAUCAUAGAGGGUGAGAAUCCCGUCUUUGACAUGGACUGCCAGUGCUUCUGUGGUGUGCUCUCAAAGAGUCGAGUUGUUUGGGAAUGCAGCUCUAAAUGGGUGGUAAAUGCCAUCUAAAGCUAAAUAUUGGCGAGAGACCGAUAGCGAACAAGUACCGUGAGGGAAAGAUGAAAAGAACUUUGGAAAGAGAGUUAAACAGUACGUGAAAUUGCUGAAAGGGAAACGCUUGAAGUCAGUCGCAUCAGCUGGAAAUCAACCUUGCUUCUGCUGGGUGUACUUUCCAUCUGAUGGGUCAGCAUCAAUUUCGAUUGCUGGAUAAAGUUCUUGGGAAUGUGGCAUCUUCGGAUGUGUUAUAGCCCUUGGAUGGAUACAGUGACUGGGAUUGAGGAACUCAGCAUGCCACAAUGGCUGGGCCUUUUGGCUACACCACAUGCUUAGGAUGCUGGCAUAAUGGCUUUAAUCGACCCGUCUUGAAACACGGACCAAGGAGUCUAACAUGCCUGCGAGUGUUUGGGUGGAAAACCCAUGCGCGCAAUGAAAGUGAUGGUUGAGAUCCCUGUCAUGGGGAGCAUCGACGCCCAGACCAGACCUUUUGUGACGGAUCUGCGGUCAAGCAUGUAUGUUGGGACCCGAAAGAUGGUGAACUAUGCCUGAAUAGGGUGAAGCCAGAGGAAACUCUGGUGGAGGCUCGUAGCGAUUCUGACGUGCAAAUCGAUCGUCAAAUUUGGGUAUAGGGGCGAAAGACUAAUCGAACCAUCUAGUAGCUGGUUCCUGC
rnacentral:misc_RNA from 1 species